rnacentral:ncRNA from 1 species
GCCGUUCUCAUGGGGAGUCUUCGGGCUGAGAUCGUACGGCGUACGGGACCCAUUGAACCUGAACCAGAUCAUGCUGGCGGAGGAAUUGAGAAAAACUGAGAGA